rnacentral:rRNA from 1 species
GAUGAACGCUGGCGGCGUGCCUAAUACAUGCAAGUCGAGCGAACAGAUGAGGAGCUUGCUCCUCUGACGUUAGCGGCGGACGGGUGAGUAACACGUGGAUAACCUACCCAUAAGACUAGGAUAACUUCGGGAAACCGGAGCUAAUACCGGAUAAUAUAUUGAACCGCAUGGUUCAAUAGUGAAAGACGGUUUUGCUGUCACUUAUAGAUGGAUCCGCGCCGCAUUAGCUAGUUGGUAAGGUAACGGCUUACCAAGGCAACGAUGCGUAGCCGACCUGAGAGGGUGAUCGGCCACACUGGAACUGAGACACGGUCCAGACUCCUACGGGAGGCAGCAGUAGGGAAUCUUCCGCAAAGGGCGAAAGCCUGACGGAGCAACGCCGCGUGAGUGAUGAAGGUCUUCGGAUCGUAAAACUCUGUUAUUAGGGAAGAACAAAUGUGUAAGUAACUAUGCACGUCUUGACGGUACCUAAUCAGAAAGCCACGGCUAACUACGUG